rnacentral:rRNA from 1 species
UACGUAGGGUGCAAGCGUUUGUCCGGAAUUAUUGGGCGUAAAGAGCUCGUAGGCGGUCUGUCGCGUCUGCUGUGAAAACUCAGGGCUUAACCCUGAGCUUGCAGUGGGUACGGGCAGACUAGAGUGCGGUAGGGGAGACUGGAAUUCCUGGUGUAGCGGUGAAAUGCGCAGAUAUCAGGAGGAACACCGGUGGCGAAGGCGGGUCUCUGGGCCGUAACUGGACGCUGGAGGAGCGAAAGCGUCGGGUAGCGAACAGG